ensembl:lncRNA
CACAGACGCUGGCCCUGCCGUCACUGAGGACGUGCGUUCCCUCACGGAAGUGCUGUGCUCGGCCAGGCCCUUCGGAGGCUGGCGGGCGCGCACGUGUGCAGCCACGUGACCCUGCCAUCAGCGGCCUGGACGCCAGGCCGAGGUGGAGCCUGGCGGAGGUGGGGCCUGGCGGAGGAGACUUGGCCAUGUGAGCUCAGAGGGGAGACCAGGCUGGAAAUAGAAGACCUGUUAUUUCAUGGAGCAGAGACAAGCAACACCUUGGAGAUGCCCAGCGUCCUGAUUGAUGGCUGGGUCACCCUGCACGCGGUCUGAGCGCACUGUCUUCCUUCUUCCGCUGAUGCUUCUGAUCUGCUGACCCCAGGGUGACCCGGCAGAGGUGGAGCUGAUAUUAACAUGUCACUUUCUUUAGUUAAAUUUUUAAAGAAGGGGAAGUAGGGGCGGAAAGCAGGAAGAGAAACUUUUAGGCUAAUACGUUGCUAAUAAAGAUUGAAAACAUAUGUCACUCCUCAAGUAUGUCCUGUCAGUGUAGCCCAGAUAAAAAAACACUCUGCGUCCUCUCGGAACAG